GACGAACGCUGGCGGCGUGCCUAAUACAUGCAAGUAGAACGCUGAAGGAGGAGCUUGCUUCUCUGGAUGAGUUGCGAACGGGUGAGUAACGCGUAGGUAACCUGCCUGGUAGCGGGGGAUAACUAUUGGAAACGAUAGCUAAUACCGCAUAAGAGUAGAUGUUGCAUGACAUUUGCUUAAAGGUGCAAUUGCAUCACUACCAGAUGGACCUGCGUUGUAUUAGCUAGUUGGUGGGGUAACGGCUCACCAAGGCGACGAUACAUAGCCGACCUGAGAGGGUGAUCGGCCACACUGGGACUGAGACACGGCCCAGACUCCUACGGGAGGCAGCAGUAGGGAAUCUUCGGCAAUGGACGGAAGUCUGACCGAGCAACGCCGCGUGAGUGAAGAAGGUUUUCGGAUCGUAAAGCUCUGUUGUAAGAGAAGAACGAGUGUGAGAGUGGAAAGUUCACACUGUGACGGUAUCUUACCAGAAAGGGACGGCUAACUACGUG
rnacentral:rRNA from 1 species